CCUACGGGGUGCAGCAGUGAGGAAUAUUGGUCAAUGGACGAGAGUCUGAACCAGCCAAGUAGCGUGAAGGAUGACUGCCCUAUGGGUUGUAAACUUCUUUUAUAUGGGAAUAAAAUGUUCCACGUGUGGGAUUUUGUAUGUACCAUAUGAAUAAGGAUCGGCUAACUCCGUGCCAGCAGCCGCGGUAAUACGGAGGAUCCGAGCGUUAUCCGGCUUUAUUGGGUUUAAAGGGUGCGUAGGUGGAUUGUUAAGUCAGUUGUGAAAGUUUGGGGCUCAACCGUAAGAUUGCAGUUGAAACUGGCAGUCUUGAGUACAGUAGAGGUGGGCGGAAUUCGUGGUGUAGCGGUGAAAUGCUUAGAUAUCACGAAGAACUCCGAUUGCGAAGGCAGUUCACUGGACUGCAACUGACACUGAGGCUCGAAAGUGUGGGUAUCAAACAGGAUUAGAUACCCUAGUAGUC
rnacentral:rRNA from 1 species